rnacentral:lncRNA from 1 species
CCUCACUUGGAAUUUAUCUUUCUCAAGAUCAAACUGGAUCAUGAGUUUUUGAGGGGAGCAGCACAGAGGUGAAGUCCCUGUGUUCAUGUGAUAGGUGAAGGUCACCAUGUGACAGGUCACCUUGACCUGUUGCUGGUCAUGUUGGCCUUGACCCCCUGGCGGAGGGCCUGCCACGUCCAGCUUACUCUCUUUCUCCUUUUCCCUAUUGUAGAUCUUUGGAAGGACAUCACUAGCUCAUCUUAAAGGGUUGUUUUAAGGUUUAAGUGAGAUGCUUUAACUUUGGGCCCAAAGCCCAUGCUGAGAAAACCAUCAUCAGCCUCGUGGUCAAUACGGUUGCUCCUCUUGCGCUGGCCCUGGAAAUACAUAGAAACCAGUUCUCUCAAGCACUGCUCCCUUAUGGUUCAAAAGUCACUCCAUGCCAGGGACAGUGGCCCCUGCCUGUAAUCCCAGUGGCUCCAGAGGCUGAGGCAGGAGGAUCACAAGUUCAAAGCCAGCCUCAGCAACUUAGUGAG